UCAAACUUGGUCAUUUAGAGGAAGUAAAAGUCGUAACAAGGUUUCCGUAGGUGAACCUGCGGAAGGAUCAUUAAUGAAACCCAUGGGGCCCUUCUGCCCCCCGCACCGGUGGAGACGCCGUGCUGCGGGUCGGUUGGGGGAGCCCUUUCCACACCCACACCUGUGCACCUUUGGGGCGGUUACGGUGGUGACGCCGGCCGCCUCGUUUUCACAAGCUCUGAAUCUAACUUGGAAUGUUUGGGGCGGUUGUGCCCUCUAACAAAUAACAACUUUCAACAACGGAUCUCUUGGCUCUCGCAUCGAUGAAGAACGCAGC
rnacentral:misc_RNA from 1 species